rnacentral:rRNA from 1 species
UACAGAGGGUGCAAGCGUUGUUCGGAAUUAUUGGGCGUAAAGCGCGUGUAGGCGGCUUGGCAAGUCGGGUGUGAAAGCCCUCAGCUCAACUGAGGAAGUGCGCCCAAACUGCUGUGCUUGAGUGCCGGAGAGGGUGGCGGAAUUCCCCAAGUAGAGGUGAAAUUCGUAGAUAUGGGGGAGGAACACCGGUGGCGAAGGCGGCGACUCUGGGCCGAUACUGACACUGAGGAGCGAAAGCGUGGGGAGCGAACAGG